AUUGAACGCUGGCGGCAUGCUUUACACAUGCAAGUCGAACGGUAACAGGCCUUCGGGUGCUGACGAGUGGCGAACGGGUGAGUAAUGCAUCGGAACGUACCCAGAGGUGGGGGAUAACGCAGUGAAAGCUGUGCUAAUACCGCAUGUGAUCUGAGGAUGAAAGCGGGGGACCGAGCAGCAAUGUUUGGCCUCGCGCCUUUGGAGCGGCCGAUGUCGGAUUAGCUAGUUGGUGGGGUAAAGGCCUACCAAGGCGACGAUCCGUAGCUGGUCUGAGAGGACGACCAGCCACACUGGGACUGAGACACGGCCCAGACUCCUACGGGAGGCAGCAGUGGGGAAUUUUGGACAAUGGGCGCAAGCCUGAUCCAGCAAUGCCGCGUGCGGGAAGAAGGCCUUCGGGUUGUAAACCGCUUUUGGCAGGAACGAAACGGUGUCCGCUAAUACCGGGCGCUAAUGACGGUACCUGCAGAAUAAGCACCGGCUAACUACGUG
rnacentral:rRNA from 1 species